rnacentral:rRNA from 1 species
GGUGCUGGAAGGUCAAGGGGAGCCGUCACCCAGUAAUGGGGAAGCGGCGAACUCAAGCCCCAGUAAACGGCGGCCGUAACUAUAACGGUCCUAAGGUAGCGAAAUUCCUUGUCGGGUAAGUUCCGACCCGCACGAAUGGUGUAACGAUAUGGGCGCUGUCUCAACGCGAGAUCCGGUGAAAUUGAAGUCCAGGUGAAGAUGCCUGGUGAAUGCAGUUAGACGGAAAGACCCCGUGAACCUUUACUCCAACUUGGCGCUGGGGACUGGACAUGCAUGUGUAGGAUAGGUGGGAGGCAGAGAGCCAUGCCCGUCAGGGUAUGGGGAGCCGUUGGUGAAAUACCACCCUUGGAUGUCCAUUUCCCUAACCGGUGCCGUGAACCGGCAUCGGGACAGCACCAGGCGGGGAGUUUGACUGGGGCGGUCGCCUCCC